CACUUCCCCUGCACAGGGUGUGGGGCAGGGGCCCUCCCCACUGCUAGCGUGGGAGUUAAACUCAGCCCUCACAGGCUGGAGACCCAGUGGGAGAAGGACGAGGAAAGGUCCCCCCUUCACCAAGCCCUGGGACACCCAGCCCUGGGACACCCAGCCCUGGGACACCGCUGUGAGGAAGUAAGGCCUGCUAUUCAGAACUGGAACCGGAAUGUUUCGAAGUGAAGCUCACCUCUAACCCCUCCCACGCCCUCAUCACCACGUGUGAAAGAUUAGUUUUUCAUGGCUCAGCUCUGCUCUCUCAUUUCCUGGAUGAGAAAACUUGAGGGGCAAGCCCCUCCCCGUUGUCCGAGGACUAAAGCUCCAGCUCUUGCACCUUCAAGGCAUGGCGCCCUAAGAACUAGCCCCUGGCCACUUUGCAACCAUUCCUCUGUCCCUGCUGCCCAUCCCGCCUAGCACACAAACGCCCAAGCGAACCUUGGUAUGUUUUCAGACCAGCAGCAGCUCAAUCAGGCUACCCGAAAUUUGUCUUCAGCUGCCUUGAAAAUCUGCAAAAGAACCCCCUUUAAUCCCUCCCUUCUUACCCCAUGUACUCCCCAACUUCUGCCUUCCUCCCCUCCUUUGAGGACAUAUGGCCCCUUGAAGUUUUUGUUUGCUUGCAGGGAGACCAAAAAAAAAAAAAAAAAAAAAAGAAAGAAAGAAAAGAAAAGAAAAAACCAAACCCAAACCCAGCUUCAGUGUGGAGAGUUUUUCCUUUUUUCUUUUUUAUUAAGCGUCAAGAGACAAAGCAAUCUGCUUGCAGAUACUAUACGUGCAUAAUUAAUAAAAUCUCAUUAUUUAUUUAUAAAAAGACACACGAGGAACUGGAGAAUUAGGGCUAUCCCCAUUAUAUAUGAAGAGAGAGAGAAAAAGAGUGAGA